rnacentral:rRNA from 1 species
UUAGGAAUCUUCCACAAUGGGCGAAAGCCUGAUGGAGCGACGCCGCGUGAGGGAUGAAGGCCUUAGGGUUGUAAACCUCUAAAAGAGGGACGAUAAUGACGGUACCUCUUGAAUAGCACCGGCUAACUCCGUGCCAGCAGCCGCGGUAAUACGGAGGGUGCAAGCGUUAUCUGGAAUCACUGGGCGUAAAGGGCGCGUAGGCGGUCUGUUAAGUCCGAUGUUAAAUCCCGGGGCUCAACCCCGGAUAAGCGUUGGAUACUGGCAGGCUAGACGGUUGGAGAGGCGAGUGGAAUUACCAGUGUAGCGGUGGAAUGCGUAGAUACUGGUAGGAACACCCAUUGCGAAGGCAGCUCGCUGGACAACACGUGACGCUGAGGCGCGAAAGUGUGGGGAGCAAACC